AAACACGAAGUAAUGGUUGCCUAGAGAAAUGCAGCAAAUAAUCCAAAGGAAGCUAUAAGACUGGCGAUUUUAUCAUGUUGGAAAGUCAAUGUAUUUUAUGACUUAACGAUUUGGCAAAUUCAGGAAAAUGAGUUGAACUCGAUUAGAACAUCAGUGUACAUCUCACGGCUCUCGUAUGUGGUGCAGCAGUUAAAGAGAAGAAGGACGACAUGCUAACAAUCCCGACUGUGUGUAUUUUCCCCAUUGGCGUGCGGAUUUUGCACUCCUGAUACCCCACAUUUACUUCUGGUAUGCUGCUCUGACAUGUUCUUUUAGUCCUUCCUUGCUUCCCUCCUUCUACAUCUCUGGAAGGGAUACAGGAGAAGAUGUAAAGAUUCCUGAAGAGUGAGGCUCCAGCCUGUUCUGAGCUUCUGGCUUUUGUAGCAAGAAACCAGUAUUGUAAUCACAGAUGGUUUAUGCUAAACAGUCCAACUUUGAAAAUAAAGAUUGUAUUAUUCCUCAUCAAAGAACUGUUUAGUACUGUUCCUCUCAGGUGAGAGGAACUGCCUCAAUGAAUGCAUAAGAACCAAAGUAUUCUGCUCUUUAAUUUAUUUUAAGCAAACGCAAAGUGUUUCUACUUAAAAUAAUCUGUAGUCUCUUGGUAGGUUAAACAGGGCUUUGUUUCGUUUUAAUUAAAAUGGCAAAGCUUUCCACAUUCUUAUUUAAUUUACUCCCCAGAAUAACCUGUUAAGUAGGUAGCUUUCAAUUCUGCAAAUGAGAAGAUGUAGGUACAGUGAGGUAAAGAGUAGAGGAUAAAGUCAUAUAGAUAGUAAUUAAGGAGCCAGGCUUGCAUCCUAGGAUACUGACAUCAGGGACCAAUCUCAGAUACUCAUCUCCUGUAUCAAAACACAUCAGAUUAAAGUUUAUAGCAGUGAAAUAGAGUUUGCUACACUGGCUGGAUCUAUAGUAUUCAACUGGAUCUAUAUAUUCAACUUUACAAUGGCAAAUUGGUGUGUACCAUAUAUACAGUAUUUAACUUAGAUGUAGUAUACAAUGUAUUUUUCAGUAACAAAAGCUAACCUCAAUGAAAAAGGUUAAGCAAAUAAUUGUGUGUGUGUGUGUGUGUGUGUGUGUGUGUGUGUGUGUGUGCGUGAUUGUUUUUCCUUCUCUUUGGAUUGACACUUGUAUUCUAUUCUGAGAAAUUUUCAAUGUGUGAAGAUUUGAUACCUUUGGAAGUAUACUUCAAAUGUCAGAACAGGCACACAGUUGGGGGAACAACAAUUUUUUUUUUAAAUAAAAAGUACACUUUCCAUUUAAAGUGUCAGAGUUUAGUUAGGGAUAUAUCAUAGUGUUGCAACAACAACCAUUUCCAAUCCCAGCUCUCUAUAAAGCUAUGUAAA
rnacentral:lncRNA from 1 species